rnacentral:rRNA from 1 species
UACGGAGGGUGCGAGCGUUGUCCGGAAUCACUGGGCGUAAAGGGCGCGUAGGCGGCUUCUCAAGCGUGUGGUGAAAGUCCGGGGCUCAACCCCGGAUCGGCCGUGCGGACUGGGGAGCUCGAGUUCUGUAGAGGCGGGUGGAAUUCCGGGUGUAGCGGUGGAAUGCGUAGAGAUCCGGAAGAACACCAGUGGCGAAGGCGGCCCGCUGGGCAGUGGCUGACGCUGAGGCGCGACAGCGUGGGGAGCAAACAGG